CACGUAGGGCGCGAGCGUUGUCCGGAAUCAUUGGGCGUAAAGAGCGUGUAGGCGGCCCGAUAAGUCCGCUGUGAAAGUCCAGGGCUCAACCCUGGGAUGCCGGUGGAUACUGUCGGGCUCGAGUCCGGAAGAGGAGUGUGGAAUUCCUGGUGUAGCGGUGAAAUGCGCAGAUAUCAGGAGGAACACCAAUGGCGAAGGCAGCACUCUGGGACGUGACUGACGCUGAGACGCGAAAGCGUGGGGAGCAAACAGG
rnacentral:rRNA from 1 species